rnacentral:lncRNA from 1 species
GCUGCUCUUGAAACAGGCGGCUUUUGGCACAGUUUUGUGGCAAGUUUGCAAGGUUGAUGGAGAAUUCUGCAGUAUGAAGCAGUGCUGGAGAAAGUAUAAAGCUGCUUGUUUGAAAACAAGAAGGCAAAGAACAGUGAUCCUGACAAAAUGUGAUGGAGCACUGGAACAGGUUGCCCAAAGAGGCUGUGGAGUCUCCUGUCUUGGAGAUGUUUGAAACCCAUCUGGACAUGGCUGUGGGCAACCUUCUCUUGGCGGUCCUGAUUGAGCAGGGGAUGGACCAUUCUGUGAUUCUAUAUUUUUAGGAAAUGAUGUCUUUAAUGUCCUGGUAUUAUGAGAUAGGACAAAUAGCAGGAGCUGAUGCCAAAAGUUUUAGAGGAACAUAUGAGCUUAGCCAUGCCUAUAGGACAAACUCUGAUGAGUAAAGAGUAGUCUGUGUCUAUGGAAUGACUGGAGGUGCCUAUGAAAUAAGUUUUAAUUCUUCAGCAGCUCUUAAGGAAAAAAAAAAAAAAAAAAAAAAAGGUGUAGGGAAAUCCCUUUGUGCAUUUGGCUUUGAUUUGUAUUUUGGAGUUGCAAGCAUCAGCAUUCCCAGGCAGAUCCCAAAUCUAUGGUUUGGGUUUCUUUGUUUGAAUUUAGCUUCAGAAUGAACCCAUUUACUUGGGGAAGAAAGUUCAUCCAUAUUUAAUUGGGAUGGCUGAAGAUCUUCAAACUGCUCUGGAUUUAAUAGUUGUACACUAGUUGUUCACCCUAUGAUAAACAAUUGUUGGAGACAUAAGACUGGACAUAAUGCAGUCUCUCAAAACUUGCUCCUAAGUAAUCUCAUUUAGUUUGUGUUCUCUCAUGCUCUAUACAAAACUUGUCCGAUGCACUAGACAGCAAUCCUGUGUGUACAGAGCAGAAUAGAAUAUCCCAAGUCGGAAAGGACCCAUAAGAAUCAAUGAGUCCAACCCCUGCUUCCACACAGCACCACCUCAAACCCAAAUCCUAUGUCUGGCAGCAGUGUCCAAAUGCAACUUGAGCUCUGGCAGCUCUGAGCCGUGCUCACUGCCACGGGGAGCCUGUGCCAUGCCCACCGCCCUCUGUUGCAGAACGUUUUCUAUCCCCCAGCCUGACCCUCUUUGACACACCCCCAUGCUGUACAGAGCUCUGUGUGAGGAGCUGUAGGCCACCAUGAGGCAGAACAAACCCAAUGACCUCAGCUGCUCCUCACACACCUUGAUGUCAGAUCCUACCACAUCUCUAUAGCCCUCCUUUGGACACUCACUAUUAGCUUUAUGUCCUUCUUACGUUGUGGCACCCACACCUGCACCCAGUGUUCGAGGUGAGGCCAUGCCAUGCAGAGCACAGUGGGACAAUACAUGCUCUCACUCAGUGGUAGUACUGCAUCAGGAUCACCUCAGAGGAUGGGAGCACCUUGGCCUCCAGGGCACUGAAAGUUUACUUACUGUGGCAUUCACUUCGUGUCCAAACUAUUUAUAAAAAUGUUAAAGAGAAGUGGCCCUAAACAGAGCCCAGCAGAACCCCAUAGUAAGUAUCUAUCUGCCAGCCUGAUGGAACCCCAUCUACUAAAUCCCUUUGAGCUCAACCUAUCAGCCAAUUAAUUGCUCACCCAUCAUACUGUGUACUUGUCUAGCUAUGCUGGACAUUUUGUCCAGAAGGACAGUGUAAUAAACAGUAUUGAUAGCUUUGUU